AGGCGGGGCUGAGGCCCGCAGAGCUGCCUGGUGCCGCUGCCUUCUUUUGUCUCUACCCAUAUGUUGGGCACACAGUGGUACAGCCAGGGACGGCCGGCGGGGUGGGGGGGGAAAUGCCGGUGCCUCUCGCACAUGCGCCGACGGGUCCCUGACGCGGAAGUCUGUUGGAGGGAGCGGGUCCCGGGGCCGAGCCGGGCCCGUCCCGGGCUGCCGCUCCCGCUGUGCCGGGACCUGCUUCGCCGAGGAGGGCUAUUCAAUAUCUUUCACUUGUCCUGGUUGCUGCCAGCGCAGUGUGCCGGGGCCAGGCCGGUUGUGCGCGCUCGGGAGCUCUCCCUGGAGGCCGGGCGGCUCUGGGGGGCUCCGGUGCGGUGCAGGCUUGUAGAUGUUCGUCCUCGGUUCCCUCAGUGCGAACAAAAGCCGUGUACGUGUUUGACGUACUCAGGGUUCUCCUGGCCUGCGGUGAACACCAGCAGCUGCGUGAGGACGCGAGGCUGUGGGCUGGCCGCAGCCGGGAGAAGGCAGGCCGCGCCGGCCCCGUUCUCUGGGACCUGCAAGAGAUACAGGGCUGAAAACAAAGACAUCCAAACCUUGAGCCAUUUAGAAGAGGAAGAAGCCAAAAUCUGUGCCAGAGGUUUGACUGCUGGGAUACUCAUGGCUUCAGGUUGGUCUCACGGGGCUCGGUCUGUUGGGAGGAUUUUCUGAGAUGCAUCUGAAUAGCUCACAGCUGGAUGGCUUCAGCUCUGACCCCACGACCCGAGUGAGGUUUCCCACUCACCGUAUUCCUGGAAUGACACAGGGGCUCUGGCUGGAGUCAGGCCAGGACAUUAGAGGAAACUGCUUUUGUGGCACUUCUGUGUUUAAUACCUAGAGGACAGAUUUCCCACUGCAUCUCUCUGCAGCAUUUGACUCUGUUGACCAUGAAACUCUUCAUGUCCCUGCUGAGGAGGGGAUUUGCAGUCUGGUGGUAGUGGUUCAGUGGAACAUACUCAGUUAUUAGAGAUGAAAACAUACUACUUCUAAUGCCUGGAUGUGGUGCUGUCCCACUAAGACUUAUGCUUUUCCCCUUUUUUGCUGACCCAAUUGAACACAAAGUCAUUGGGGUGUGGGAGACAUUGCUGCAGCCCAGAACACUUCAAUAGCUCAUGCUGGUUGUGCCAUUCCUUUGUGUUUUAAGAUAAUACAUAGUCAAGUUCAAAGUCUCAGUCCUUGAGAGCCUUAGUAGUCUGGAUCAAAGUAUCUAAAAAAGUAACCUUAUUAGCACCAUCUGAUUUGUAUGAGAGCCUUGCCAUUUUCCAUUGCAGCAAAAGGAAAGAAGUGGCCCUCUGAUACCCUCCUCCAGUAGUUUUAAGCAUUGCCCAGUAUCUCUCUGAAAUGUGGUAAAAAAAUAAUCUUACCUGAGACUAGCACUUCUCUUACAGAGAUUACCACCAUGUGCAGAUUCUCUUGCACUUCACAUGAACAGGGAAUGUUCACUGCCUCUGGAACAUGUGUGCCUCCAGACAAGCACAGGGCAACACAGUGUUUCACCAACAGAAUGGUGGCUGGCUCCUUGGAACAAUGCCAGGAGUGCCUGGUUAUCUGUGCAGUCUAUAAUGUCUCUCCCUAGCCUUAAUACACACACACAUUCCCCACAUACAUAAUGCUUAUCUUUAAUUUUCUGUGUGCCCAAACCAUACAAUUUCUAAAGAGAGUUAAAAAUAUCAAAUUAAUUCAGAAGACAGAGGUGAAAAGGAUAAUUCUGAGAUAUUCACAGGGUUGGUAGUAGUAACAAGAGAGACAGUUUCUGUCUUUUUUUGAUACUGAAGUUAAUUGCAGGCAUCUAGGGUUUAAAGACCUUGUGUUAUUAAUGGGAGUGUGUUAGCAAAAGGGGGGACUCUAACAUUAAACUGAAAUUUAGCAUGUACAGUAGGUUGUCAAGAGAAAAAACAAUAAGAACAAAGGGGACUGCUAUUAUCUUUUAUUAUUAUCUUUUAAUUCCCCCCCAUUUUCCUUCUGCAUGCUCUCUCUUUGUCAGCCUUCUCUCUUUCAAUAAUUACAAUAAUCAACUUACAAUGAUAACAGAAAUAAUCUCUUGCAAGAUAACUAAACAAACCACGUUAUCUGUACUGAACUGUGCUUACUUACAGUAGGUACAUCACUUAUGGAAAAGCCAAUAAAAUUUUAAUUAAAAAAG
rnacentral:lncRNA from 1 species